rnacentral:rRNA from 1 species
GGUGAACGCUGGCGGUAGGCCUAACACAUGCAAGUCGAACGGCAGCACAGUAAGAGCUUGCUCUUACGGGUGGCGAGUGGCGGACGGGUGAGGAAUACAUCGGAAUCUACUUUUUCGUGGGGGAUAACGUAGGGAAACUUACGCUAAUACCGCAUACGACCUACGGGUGAAAGCAGGGGAUCUUCGGACCUUGCGCGAUUGAAUGAGCCGAUGUCGGAUUAGCUAGUUGGCGGGGCAAAGGCCCACCAAGGCGACGAUCCGUAGCUGGCCUGAGAGGAUGAUCAGCCACACUGGAACUGAGACACGGUCCAGACUCCUACGGGAGGCAGCAGUGGGGAAUAUUGGACAAUGGGCGCAAGCCUGAUCCAGCCAUACCGCGUGGGUGAAGAAGGCCUUCGGGUUGUAAAGCCCUUUUGUUGGGAAAGAAAAGCAGCAGGUUAAUACCCCGCUGUUCUGACGGUACCCAAAGAAUAAGCACCGGCUAACUUCGUG